GGGGGAUAAAUUAAUAAAGUAUAAAUAAUAAAAAAAUUUUUAAUAUUAAAAUAGUUUAAUGGGGGUUAAAGUAUAUUUAAUAGAAAAAAAUUAAAAAAAUUUAUAGUAAAUUAGUAUUGUAAAAGAAAUUUGAAAUAUAUUGAAAAUAAAUUUAUUUAAAAGUAAAUUUAAUUUAUUGUAUCUUGUGUAUCAGAGUUUAUUAAUAAUAUUUUUUAUUUAAAAAUUUUCUCGAAUUUAAAAGAGAUAAUUGAUUAUUAAAGUUAAUGUUGAAUAAUUAUUUUGAAUAAUUGAUUUGAAAUGAAAUGUUAAUCGUUUUUAAAUAUAUCUAGUUUUUUUAGAAAAAAAUUUAAUUUUAAAUUUUAAAAAAAUAUAAUUUUAAUUAAUUAAAAUUAUAUUUUUAAAAUUAAAUAUUUUAAGGGAUAAGCUUUAAAAUAAAUUUUUAUAAUAAAUUUUUAUAAUAAUUAAAAUUUUUAAAAUUUAUAUUGUUUAUAAAUUUUAAUUUUUUAUAAAUAAUUUUAAUUAAAUUAAAAUUUAAAAUUUAUUUAAGUAUUUAUAGAAAAAUAUUUUAUAAUAAUUUAAAUUUAGAUAUAAUGAUAAAAUUAGUAUAUAAUUAAAUAAAAAUGAUUUAUUUUUUGAUAAUUUAAUAAAAGGAAUUCGGCAAAAAUUUAUAUUCACUUGUUUAUCAAAAACAUGUCUUUUUGGUUAAUAAUUUAAAGUCUAAUCUGCCCACUGAUAUUAUAUUAAAGGGCUGCAGUAUUUUGACUGUACAAAGGUAGCAUAAUCAUUAGUCUCUUAAUUGGUGACUUGUAUGAAAGAUUUGAUGAGAUAUAUACUGUCUCUUUUUAAUUUAUAAAAUUUAAUUUUUUAGUUAAAAAGCUAAAAUAUAUUUAAAAGACGAGAAGACCCUAUAGAGUUUUAUAUUUAUAUAAAUUAGAAUUUUUUAUAAGAUUUAAAAUUUUAAUAUGUUUAAAUAUUGUGUUGGGGUGAUAAAAAAAUUUGAAUAACUUUUUUUAUAAAUUAACAUUUAUAAAUGAAUAAAUGAUCCGUAAUUUACGAUUAUAAGAAAAAAUUACCUUAGGGAUAACAGCGUAAUUUUUUUUUUUAGUUCAAAUAAGAAUAAAAGUUUGCGACCUCGAUGUUGGAUUAAGAUAAAAUUUAAAUGCAAAAGUUUAAAAUUUUUGAUCUGUUCGAUCAUUAAAAUCUUACAUGAUCUGAGUUCAAACCGGUGUAAGCCAGGUUGGUUUCUAUCUUUAAAUUUAUAAAAUAUUUUAGUACGAAAGGAUCAAAUAUUAAAAAUAAUUUUAUAUAAUAAGAAUUUUAAUAAUAGUAGGUUAAAUAU
rnacentral:rRNA from 1 species